UUGGGGCUCCCCUCCCAUUUGGUGACAUGACAGAUCGGAGGCUUCCAAACUAUGCAACAACCCAGGAGGAAAAAGCCCUCCAACCAUCUACAGGGGUUGCAGCAAUUUCCCUGGAUUCAGCUUCAAAGAUAUAAAAGCCUGGGCUUCAAAGUUUCAGAAAAGCAGAUUUCAGCUUGUCAGCCGGGACGAGUUGCAACCCGCGACCAACUCUGCCCCGUCCUCAAGCUCUGGGCAGAGUUCCCCUCCGCUCUGGGGCUUCCCUGGAUCCUGCCGCUUCCCCAGGCCCCUCGACGCCCUCCGGUCGCAGUCUUUCCCCCUUCCUUGUAACCCAGGCUGGAAGGCUGUCUUCGUCCUCCUCUUCGAUUAGCGUCAGAACUCCGAGAUCCCUCCUCUGCUCUCCACGUUCCAGCUCUUUCCCGAUCCAGCCUCCGCAGCCAGCUGCCCACCCAUCCUUCCAACAGACGUGUGCUGGGCUCUUUGUGUGUGUCGACUUUUGUCCCAGGCUGAGGACACAGCAGUGAAGAAGUGGGGCAUGCCGCUGUUGUCAGUGAGUGGACAUUUUAUCUUGGGGCCCAGUAACAAACUGAGAAAUACUAAACAGAAUGUCAGAUGGUGCAAGCGUUUUGGAGAAAAAUUGCAGGGGCCAUGAGACCGAGCCUCCCAGAUCUGAAGCUGCAGGCUGGGCAGGUGACCGAGCGUCUCCAUAGCUGCAUAGCAGAAUCGGUCACUGUGUUCGCUCUGGGGACCAUCCUGCCCAGGGGCUGUAGCCUGCCCUGGACCAGAGGGUCAGGGACAUUAGCACGCUUGAGAUUCGUCCACGGGAGACUGGCUGCGUGUGCCUCAGUCCCCACUCCUCCCUCCUGCCUCCCCUCCUCCUCUCCUCCUCUCCUUCUCACCCAGGGGCAGGUCUCCGCUGCAGUUUGACAGCCAUCCCCACCCUCUCCCUUUGUCUUCUCCUGUACAUUUCCUCCAAUAACAUGUCACCUCUCCUAUUCUGUCCUUGCAUCUGAGCUGACACAAGACCAGAAAGCAGAGAGCCAUUUGGAGCAGGGCUAAGUGGCCAGGAAAGGCCUCUGGGGCAGGUGCCAUUUGUUUAGAGACUUGACUGGAGCCAGGGCACAGCCUGUGCAUACAGCUGAGGAGGAGCAUCCAGGGCAGAGGAGGAAGGACAAGCACUUGUCAAGACUGGAGAUUGGGCUGCUGAGGGGCCGGGGCUGCCCCAGGCCAAGCUCUGCAUCCCCUCCGACCUGGCUCCACCCCCGCCCCUUCCACCUCAGGGCCUCUAACUUGAUCUGCUUCACCUCAGACUUCGUGUGAACAAAGAGUUCCAGGUUUAAAAUAAAAGUGCUCUCGAAGAACCCUCAAUCUCCGCGUUAUUCUAUGCCUCCGCUGACCAUUGGCCAUGACGAGAACGGGCAGCAGAAGAAAUGACCUCUUCUUGGAAGCCCCAUUGCUCCACAGAGAUCCUGGAUCAGUGUGAGGCAGGGGUAGAUCAGAGAAUGGGGGAGUGGCCAAGGACACAUCAGGUCUGGUGGAGAGGGUGUACCUUCCAUCCUCAUGGUCCAAGGUGGUUGCUAAAAUUCCUGCCAUUGUGUCUGGAUUCCAGGCAGCAGAAAGGAGAAAUGGAAGACCUAUCCUAUUCCUGCUCUGAAGCCAUGUGCUGUGUCCCGUACAACAUCCGUGUUAUGUAUCACUGCCCAGAACUUGUUGCAUGGGAACACCUAACUGCAAGGAAGAAGGAGCAAUGAAUGAUCAUGUUCUCAGUGUAAAGGUUGGAUUUUGUUUCCUAACGAAGAAGGGGAGAUGUUUACCGGGAGAUAAUCGGCUACUGGGAGACAAUUGGUUGUCAGAGUAAAUGACAGAAAUCGUGCAUGCCGGAAGCAGGACACAGUGUCCAUUCAUUCCCAGGAUUGUCCGGGAAUCAUUCACUUGCUCGGGCUCCUGGGAUCUGAGAAUGGACAAGGUGCAGUCUUGUCCCCAGAGACCCUCCGUGGGCAGAGCUCAGGUAGCAGUGUGUGGGGAGUGGUCUCAGAGAUGCACAGUGGGGGCAAACCAAACAUGUAGGGCUGAUUGGGCUGGGAGCCUUGGCACGAGAGGGCAGGAGGCCUGGGACAGGAGGAGUAGGGUCCCUGGGGGAAAGGGCUGGCAGCACCUACAGAUCCUGUGGGACUGAAAUACAAGGGAGGACCUGUUUGGGAACUGCCAGCGCAGCAGAGCAAAGCUGAAGAGCUAAGUCGGGCAAGGAGACCCUUUCGUGUUCUGCUGAAGACCUGGUCUACCCGCGCGCGUGGUCCACCCGGUUCCAUUAAAGGACUGGGAGCCGUCUGAGAUGUGUAGACUUUCCCCGUAGGUAACAGGGAAUGACGUGUGAAUUUCAGCUAAGGGACGUGGGCUGAAGUGACCAUGGGCCAGUUCUGAGCCGCAGGGGCCCAGUCAUUCCUGUUUAUCCCACUGGGACCUUUAUCAGGGGAAGAACCCGGUUAUUGAGCCCCCUUUGGCCUGAAUUCCAGAAUGAGAUACACGGGCAGACGGGUAACCUAAAGAACUGCCCCAGCCACCUGGCAAGGCUCUGAGCAACACCUGCUUGUACACCUGGUCAUCGGAUCCCUGUUAUCCCCUCACACUGGGUGCUGGACGGGGCUGUGGCCCACCCGACCCAAUACUCACCUGACCAUCGGAGCCCUGGAUGGCCUCAGGGACAGCGGGCGGGGAGUGCCACCUGAAGUGGUAUUCGACCCUCAGGGACGUGGGCUCCUCUGGGAUUGAGUCUGGCACGGUGAAUGCCAGGCUUGGCUUUUCUCAACCUCAACACACUGGCAUUGUGUUUUGGGGGGGUCAGUCUGCUGCACAGAAGCUUAGAGCACCCCUGGCCUCUACCCCCAGCACAGUAGCACGCCCCUCUUUUCUAAGUUGUGACGAUAAAAAAUGUCUUUAGACAAAUGUGCUUGGCUGCCCAAAUCGCUUGAGAGUCACUGAUUUCGCUGACGUGGCUUUAACUGUUCUGUUACUGUCGCCUUUAAUGAAGCACAGGCGCUUUACUGAGCAUUCUCGGGAAACCAUCGCAUUUGGAAACGGCGAAGGAGAAACUCAGGACCCAGAGGUGACGUGGCUUGCUCGUGGCACACUUGGUACACGAUGGAGCCAAGGCUCAGCCAUGUGACUCCAGCACCCUAACUUUUGAACAUUCUCCAUUCUGUCUCCCUCAGAAGUCAAUCUACGAGGGAUCCGGGAAAAGAUGCAUGGAUGAUUCUCUGUGUGUGUGUGAGUGUGUGUAUAGUAGAGAACACAGUGUGGGCUUGUUCAGUUGCGACUCCUGCCCCUACUACAUGGUGCCCUAGGGGAGAAUCCCCCACUUGGUGUCUCCCUGGCACCUGAGCGAAGCUGCCCAGUCUGCAGGGCUCGCUCAGUCUCUGAAGACUUUUCUGGACAACUCAGUCACCCCAGCAAGGAUGCACUCCUGGACUCCAGGCCUCUUUGCUGAUAGAGAUGGAACGCCUGAAGUAGGUUUCCACCCGUGAGCCCAGCAAUUCCACUUCUUGGAAUUUAUCCUUAGGAAGGAAUCAAAUAUGUAUACAGAGAUUUAUGCAUAGAAUGUUUGAUUUUAGCAUGAUUUACCAAAGCAAACAUUGGAUAAGAUAUUGGGCAAAUAAAUUACAGCAUUUCCAGAUGGUGGUGUGUUCAACUUGUAGAUGAAGGUUUCUUUCCAAGGAAAAGCUCCAUGUAAUAUUAUUCUUUGAGAAAAAGAAAAA